rnacentral:sRNA from 1 species
UGAGAACUGGAUGAUUAUGAGUUCAAAGUUACUCUCAGCUACAUGGCAUGGGCCAAAGCUGAAGGAUGUUGUAAACUGAAAGCCAAGAACCAUGAGGUCAUACGAGAGAGCACACGACCGCAGAUCCUGAAUCUUUUGAAGGCUUCAGAAUCUUUGGCGAAUCCUCCCUCAGAAGUUGUGUCUUUCUGGAUGUUCCUGUGCCCAGUCUGCUCUGGGCAGUUUUCAGCUUUUAAAAUUAAUAAUUUGAAAGUUGUGUUCUGGCUACAGGUAAUGACUUCCUCAUCUUGUCUGAAGAAAUGAUUCAGAGUGGCAGUUGCUCCCCACAGGUUGGACUCAGGAAGUGAGAUUGCCAUGAGUGGACACAGGGACCAGCACUGGUUAACUGUGGGGAAAUGGACUGGCAGGAGGUAGGAGCAGAUCUCUUUCUGCAUCCACAGCUCCAUUUUCCUGUGUGUCCCAUUUGAAGCACACACUGCCCUGAAGCCAGAUCCCUAGAGCUUUGCAUGAAAUAUAAUAGCAUUUUUUAAAGUAUGGGACUUGUUCUAAGGAACCGUUGUUCUGAGGAGUUUUUGGAUGUCUUUGUAAGGGCCUUUAUUUUCCUUCAUUGUCAGCUCCAUCUCUGUGCUGCAAUAUCCUGUCGAGUGGUUUUUCAGAUAACUAAAAGGAAACAAACUGGUAAGAUGGACACAUGCUUAGGAAGUAAAUAAAA